UACGUAGGGUGCGAGCGUUAAUCGGAAUUACUGGGCGUAAAGCGUGCGCAGGCGGUUUUGUAAGUCUGUCGUGAAAUCCCCGGGCUCAACCUGGGAAUUGCGAUGGAGACUGCAAGGCUAGAAUCUGGCAGAGGGGGUAGAAUUCCACGUGUAGCAGUGAAAUGCGUAGAGAUGUGGAGGAACACCGAUGGCGAAGGCAGCCCCCUGGGUCAAGAUUGACGCUCAUGCACGAAAGCGUGGGGAGCAAACAGG
rnacentral:rRNA from 1 species